rnacentral:rRNA from 1 species
UACGUAGGGUGCGAGCGUUUGUCCGGAAUUACUGGGCGUAAAGAGCUCGUAGGUGGUUUGUCGCGUUGUUCGUGAAAACUCACAGCUUAACUGUGGGCGUGCGGGCGAUACGGGCAGACUGGAGUACUGCAGGGGAGACUGGAAUUCCUGGUGUAGCGGUGGAAUGCGCAGAUAUCAGGAGGAACACCGGUGGCGAAGGCGGGUCUCUGGGCAGUAACUGACGCUGAGGAGCGAAAGCAUGGGGAGCGAACAGG